GUUUUUUUUUAAAUUGCUCCUUUGGUCAACGUGACCCGUAUUACUUCAUUUGUCGAUCGACAGUUCGCGAGGUGACACACGAAAAUGCAAUCAGUCAUUUAUUUCCACUUGGCAUAGUCUACCUUCAUUGGAAGAAUAGAGCAACGAAAAGCAGCCAUACUGCCCCGACGAACUCGAGGAUUUUCCACGUUGACCUCGAAUGGCGUCCAAAUUACUUUUGGCACUAAAAAUUUCCCGAGACUAGUCCUGCAUGGACGCGCACAGGAGUGGAGAGGAUGCGAACAAUGAAAUUGGCUGCCAAAAGCCUGUAGGGGGCAGCGUGAACGUCUGGUCGGAACUGCUCCGGCCGGAAGUUGACACUGCAGACGUAGAAGAUGAUUCGACUGUAUUCCACAUGCCUCUGCCUGUCGCGUUGCUGCCUAAACUUUGGUGAUAACUUUGCAACCGCCGCUGUUUCAAAGUUCAGUCUUCAACUUAUUGCUUCUAAUUGUAUUAUUGUCUAAAUAAUGCAGCCUAUUUAGAAUAGACGGCAGCACAAUCGGA
rnacentral:lncRNA from 1 species